UACGGAAGGCAGCAGUGGGGAAUAUUGCACAAUGGGCGAAAGCCUGAUGCAGCUAUGCCGCGUGUAUGAAGAAGGCCUUAGGGUUGUAAAGUACUUUCAUCGGGGAGGAAAAAACAAAACUAAUAAUUUUAUUUCUUGACGUUACCCGAAAAAGAAGCACCGGCUAACUCCGUGCCAGCAGCCGCGGUAAUACGGAGGGUGCUAGCGUUAAUCAGAAUUACUGGGCGUAAAGAGCACGUAGGUGGUUUUUUUAAAGUCAGAUGUGAAAUCCCUGGGCUUAACCUGGAACUGCAUUUUGAAACUGAAAUACUAGAGUAUCGUAGAGGGAGGUAGAAUUCUAGGUGUAGCGGUGAAAUGCGUAGAUAUCUGGAGGAAUACCUGUGGCGAAAGCGGCCUCCUAAACGAAUACUGACACUGAGGUGCGAAAGCGUGGGGAGCAAACGAGGGAUUUAGGAUACC
rnacentral:rRNA from 1 species